rfam:Phlebotomus papatasi Contig113.16, whole genome shotgun sequence.
AGCAAGCCCCAUAGAUCCAUUUCUGUCUUCUCAAAGAAAUGCUUGAGUCAUUGGCUUGCGAGAGAAAAUUCACUAU